rnacentral:rRNA from 1 species
AUGCACGCUGGCGGCGUGCCUAAUACAUGCACGUCGAGCGCACGGACGAGAAGCUUGCUUCUCUGAUGUUAGCGGCGGACGGGUGAGUAACACGUGGAUAACCUACCUAUAAGACUGGGAUAACUUCGGGAAACCGUAGCUAAUACCGGAUAAUAUUUUGAACCGCAUGGUUCAAAAGUGAAAGACGGUCUUGCUGUCACUUAUAGAUGGAUCCGCGCUGCAUUAGCUAGUUGGUAAGGUAACGGCUUACCAAGGCAACGAUGCAUAGCCGACCUGAGAGGGUGAUCGGCCACACUGGAACUGAGACACGGUCCAGACUCCUACGGGAGGCAGCAGUAGGGAAUCUUCCGCAAUGGGCGAAAGCCUGACGGAGCAACGCCGCGUGAGUGAUGAAGGUCUUCGGAUCGUAAAACUCUGUUAUUAGGGAAGAACAUAUGUGUAAGUAACUGUGCACAUCUUGACGGUACCUAAUCAGAAAGCCACGGCUAACUACGUG